GACGAACGCUGGCGGCGUGCUUAACACAUGCAAGUCGAGCGGUAAGGCCCUUUCGGGGGUACGACGAGCGGCGAACGGGUGAGUAACACGUGGGUGACCUGCCCUCCAGCUCUGGGAGUAAGCCUGGGAAACCGGGGUCUAAUACCGGAUAUGACUCCAUGACGCAUGUUGUGGGGUGGAAAGCCUUGUGCGGCUGAGGAUGGGCCCGCGGCCUAUCAGCUUGUUGGUGGGGUGACGG
rnacentral:rRNA from 1 species